AUUAUGCCAUUCCAUUACAGUUUAUGAUGGCAAGGGAACCCUUGAGGAAGGGGAAACUGCUGAAGCCCGGUUCAUCAAAAUCCAAGCAGCAUAUGAGCUGUUGAUUGAUGAUGAAAGGAGAAGAGCAUAUGAUAGAGAGCAUCAUGUGAAUCCAAUGAAGGCUUCUCAAGCAUGGAUGGAGUGGGUAAUGAAGAAGCGAAAAGCUUUCGA